CUGGUAUUUCAUUCUGCCAAGGAUAUAGGUAAUGGGUACAAUGCAUAGGCUAUCGUUACGACUUGGUUGGAUGGGUCAUAUACAGUAUAAUGUUUGAUCAAAGUGUUGAGGCUUAGAUACGAGUGAUGGAAACUAACCGUAUGGAAGGAUAUGAUUUGUAAGGGUCAGUCAUAUCCCUGGGAUAGGAUUUUGUGCAACUUAAGUCGGGGUAUUCUAGACAUUUUUCUACUUACCCUAA
rnacentral:lncRNA from 1 species